AUGCUCAGCCCUGUAGGCCGAGGAAGGACAACCCGGGGGAUCCCAGCUCCAGGGGACAAUCGGGGCAACUUCGUAGGGGUCGGAGGUGUGCGGCGGGCGCAGAACCGCGGAUCCACCUGCUUCGCCGCCCCCCACGGUCCCCCCAACUACCCCCCCCCGGCUCUGCGGGCCUCGGUGGUCACCUUGCCGCAGUGGCCUCCCGGCGGACCCCGCGGACCCCCGCCUGCUGACCCCACACCCCGAGCAGAGCCCCGCGAGGACCUGGGCCGUGGUUUCGGAUGCAGUCGGCUGCGUGGAGGGAGCGCUGCGCCCGGUGGCCCAGAUCACCAUGUCCGUCUACACCGUGGCAGCUCUCCCAGGUCCUUGGGGCUGCAGCCGGGACAGCACCACUGCCUGUUCCGCCCUUGCCCCUUGGCCCUCUCCCAGCCUGCCCACCGCCACCCUUCCCGCUCACGGUGCACAGACAGUCCCGCUCCUGGGGGUCCACAUCUGACCUGACUUCAUUUUUCUUGAAAAGCGUUGAGCUGCUCACCCCAGUGACAUCAGCUCGCUUCCCCACUGGGCCUCGAAGCCAGUUCCCUGCCUCCCCGGCCCCAGGCCUCGCCCCCUCCCAGACCCCAGCAGGGGACAGGCACACUGGAGGGCCACUGCCUAAGGCCCAGGACCUGUGCCCAAGUCCCAGCUCUGACACCAAAUAAUUGUGUUACCUUGGACAUGUCGCACAGCCUUCCUCAGCCCCAAUUUCCCCAAAUGUAAAAUGGGAAUAAGAACCUACUUUAUCACAUGCUGUGUUGCUUAGAUAAUGUGUGAGAAAGCGCGUUGUGGGCUGUAAGGCUGUCUCCUGCUGUAGAUCCAAAUAAGAAAGAUAAAUGUUACUCAGAUGCUGGAGACAGUGAUUGCCUUUCCAAAGCAAAAUUAAAAAAAAAAAAAAAAAAUAUAUAUAUAUAUAUAUAUAUGUAUGUAUAUAAAACGAGUUUUUCCUCUUAGCUGCAGUGUCAGCUGCAUUAGAAUUAGACUGGAAAAAAAAAGAAUUAGACUGGAUUCUAAUCCAUUAGACUGGAUUCUAAUUAUUCCUUUUGGAUCAGUUACCAGGUAAUAUUACAGGUAGUAGUGAAAGAACUCACAAUCCCACCUGAUCCUGGAGUCCGGGAUCGAGUCCCGUGUCGGGCUCCCUGCAUGGAGCCUGCUUCUCCCUCUGCCUGUGACUCUGCCUCUCUCUCUAUAUAUAUCUCUCAUUAAUAAAUAAAAUCUUAAAAAUAAAUAAAAUUCUUAAAAAAGAAAAAAAAAAGGAACUCACAAUCCCAAGAUCAAGAGUCACAUGCUCCACUGACCCAGCCAGCCUGGCGUCCCUAUAACAUAAAAGGUUUUUUGUUGUUUUUUUUUUUUUUUUUUUUUAAGCUGCAUGCUCAGUAGUGUAUGUGCAGAGAGAUGUGAGAGGGGAAGGGACUUUUCCAGCGCUCUUCAUAGCUUGUUAUUAGGCCUGCACACAGGGCACCUGGGGCCAGAGAACUCGGGACACAUUCCAGGGCCUGACUCUUACACAAAUAGCUCGGCCCUUGCGUCCCGAGAGUAGGGGAUUCAGGACGGAGGAACCAGAAGGUUGGUGCCUCCGGGGAGCCGCAGCCUGCCCCAGAUCCGGGUCUGCCUCCAUGUCCCUGUGGCCUCAUGUUCCAAGGUUUUCUGCACCAUUUCUCCCACCUGGACUUGGGCUUUAGAGAACGAGAGCCUCCAGGGCCUGCGUGGACGAGUCCCAGGCGGCUUAGAGGAAGGCCCGCCCGCCCGCCGGCAAGAGGCUCCGGGCACAGACACAGGAACUAAGCGCCCAGAUGAGGGGCCUGGGCCACGGAGGGGGCACGAGGAGCCAUCGCGGAGCUGGGGAGCUGCGGGGCUGCGGAGGGCAGCGCGAGGGCUGGCCGGGGCCCUGCUGAGAGUCCGGGCUUGCGCGCUGCUCUCCGCCCAGUACCUGCCGGUUCACAUCCCAGGUUCAGACCCGCGGCCCCGAGGGCAGGAGCCCCGCGGUCCGCCCCCUGCGCAGCCGGGCGCCUCGUGCCUGCAGAGCUGCAGCAAGUCCCGUGGACCGUCCGCGGGUGGGAGGCGCUUGGAAUGAGGGGGGUCCGGUGCCCGCACACCACCAGCACCCGGCCCAUCAGCAGGCCCACCUGUUUACGUAGAAUACAUCCGGCGUCUGACCCCCUCUUGCCACCUCCUCGGCUGUCAUUCCGGUCCCAGCCACUGCCUUCUACCUGGAUUUUUUUUUAAGAUUUUAUUUAUUUAUUCAUGAGAGACACACACAUACAGAGAGGCAGAGACACAGGCAGAGGGAGAAGCAGGCUCCAUGCAGGGAGCCCGACGUGGGACUCGAUCCCGGGACUCCAGGAUGGUGCCCUGGGCCAAAGGCAGGUGCUCAACCGCUGAGCCCCCCAGGUGUCCCUUUGUGUGCGUGUGGGAUUUGGUUUAUUUGAGAGCGAGCAGCAGGGGCGGAGCAGAGGGAGAGGGAGAGAGAAUUUCCAGCCGACUCCAUGCUGAGUGCAGAGCCUGAUGCACGGCUUGAUCCCCGGACCCAUGAGAUCAUGACCUGAGCCCAAACCACAAGAGUCGAAUGCUCAAGCACCUGAGCCCCCCGGGGAGCCUGUGCCUGGAUUAUGGCUGCAGCCUCCCGCCUCGCCCCCAGCUUCUGUCUUCAGGCCCUACACCGACUCUCAAGUCCCUUCUCUACACUGCACUUCCCAGAGUGAUCCUUUAAAAGCAUAAAUUAGGUCACAUCUCUUCUCUACCCCAAAUCCCCCCGUGGCUCCCCAUCCUGAUCAGCGUAAAAGGCAAAUCCUUAGAGUGGUCCCAAUGCCCUGCGUGACCUGAUGUCCUUGACCCUGCCCCUGCUCUCCCAGGCUCACCAGACUGCAACCGUACUGCCACUCUGCUGCUCCUCAAACACACCAAGCAUGUAGCUGCCUCAGGGCCUUUGCUCUUGAUGUCCCUCCACCCUCCGCCCUUGGCAGUCCUCACUUUUCCUUCCGGUCUUUGAGAAAUGACCACUCGUCAGAGGGGUCUUUCCUGACAGCCCUAAAUAAACCUGCACAGUUCCCCUAUGUCCCACAUUCGCUGUACCCUCUUACCUGCUUUACUUCUCCCCAGGACCCUUCUCCCCACCACCCGUAUCUGUCAUCCUGGGCCCCUCCUGCCAGAUUUAAAACCUCACAAAAUCUCUCUUGAAAACAGCUUUUCCAGGUCUGUCUCAACCUGUCUGUGCAUAUUCACCAGUCCCAUUGCCUGCCCUUCCCCCCCAGCCCGCGUCCCCCAAACCCCUCCAUCUCCGGCCACUCCCCACGAGCUCCCCAGGAGCCCCGCUCAGGCCAGGCCGGACUUUGCCGGCUGCCCGGGCUGCCCUGCUCGUUUAUCCCUCAUGCUUCUUGCACAAAGGAGGUCGCAAGGUCCCUGGUGUCGGGCAGUUGCGAUGGUUCCCAAGUGUUUACUGUUGCAGGCGCCCGGGCGUGCCCACGGCAGCUUCCUUCAGAUAAGUUAUUUGAAGAGGAACUACUGAGCCAAAGGGUGUGUGAUUUUCUAGGCUCCCGAUGAGUGUUGCCAACUUUUCCUCCUGUUUAUCUAAUUAUAGUCCCCUCAGCUAGUGUGUGAUGCCCUUUGUCUUUUUUUACAUCCUUAGCAAAACUGGGGAUUUAAAAAACACUGGGAGGUGAAAAAGUUACAUCUUGUCUUAAUUGACAUCGGUGAAGUUGGACAUUUUUUUUUGUUUCCCUCUUUUGUUAAUUCAUAAUUAAUUUCCCUUUAAAAAAUGUUUUCCUCUGUCCUUUUCUAUCGGGAUGUUAGGUUUUUACUCCUGAUUUAUAAUCCUUAUUUUUAUAUUAAGAGUAUUUAUGGGGGGCACCUGGGUAGCUCAGUCGGUUGGGCAUCCGACUCUUGAUCUUGGCUCAGGUCAUGAUCUCGGGGUCAAGAGAUCGUGCUCUGUGCUCAGUGGGGAGUCUGCUUGAGAUUCUCUCUUUCUGUCUCCCUCUGCCCCUCCCUUGCAAAAAAAGAAUAUUUAUGGGACACCUGGCUGGUUCAGCUGGUGGCACAUGCAGCUCUUGAUCUUGGGCUUGGGAGUGUGAGCCCCAUGUUGGGUGUAGAAAUAACUUAAAAAAAUAAUGAUUAAAAAAAUAAUAAAAUAAUGAAAAACCAAAUUCACUAUUUGAAAUGUCUGUGGGGGGAUCCCUGGGUGGCGCAGCGGUUUGGCGCCUGCCUUUGGCCCAGGGCGCGAUCCUGGAGACCCGGGAUCGAAUCCCACGUCAGGCUCCUGGUGCAUGGAGCCUGCUUCUCCCUCUGCCUAGUCUCUGCCUCUCUCUCUCUCUCUCUCUCUCUCUGUGACUAUCAUAAAUAAAAAAUAAAUAAAAAAAAAAAGAAAUGUCUGUGGGAGUAUUUUUUUUCCAGUUUGUUUCUUACCUUUCAAUUCUGUUUUGCAGGUUCUAGCAUAGAAAAUUUAGAAAUAGGGAAGACUGGGUAGCUCAGUUGUUUAAGCAUUUGACUCAGUUUCAGCUCAGGUUGUGAUCUCGGGGUCCUGGGAUCGAUCCCCACAUGGGGCUCAGCAUGCGCCCCCCCUCAG
rnacentral:lncRNA from 1 species